rnacentral:rRNA from 1 species
UACGUAGGGUGCAAGCGUUAAUCGGAAUUACUGGGCGUAAAGCGUGCGCAGGCGGUUAUGUAAGACAGUUGUGAAAUCCCCGGGCUCAACCCGGGAACUGCGUCCGAUACUGGCAGGCUUGAAUCCGGGAGAGGGAUGCGGAAUUCCAGGUGUAGCGGUGAAAUGCGUAGAUAUCUGGAGGAACACCGGUGGCGAAGGCGGCAUCCUGGACCGGCAUUGACGCUGAGGCGCGAAAGCCAGGGGAGCAAACGGG